GUUCAAUAUUCGAGCGUCGUGUGGCGCGAGUAAAAUAGGUCUUUCUCUCGAUAGCUCGACGAAACUAUAGAACGAUGUCGAAAAAUCAGCUGUUGGACUUUUCAGCAUGAUUUUACUGUGCUGAAAAGUAAUUGCCUAUAGGAAAUGUAUACAAAUUACCUAGCAACCGUCGUUCACUCGAGUUAGAAAAAGAUGGUGAUACUUUUUUCUCCAUAUACUCCUACUGUCGCAUUUAUCCUGAAAUUCGCACAUGCGCAAAUAGAAAGACGACAAUUGGAAACCUGCAUAGUGAUCAUAUGUUUCUUAUUCUUAUUGAAUAUCAUAACUUGUGUGUUUGUAUUGUGAAAAUAAUAUUAUUAUCAUAUUAUUAAUCGUUCAAUAAAAAUUUUCACAUUAUUAAAAACAGUCAGAGAUUUUAAUUAAUAAAAUUAAUAAACUAAUUAAUAGAAUUCAAUUGAAAAAUAAAACAUGAAUAGAUUGUUAUUAUUUACACUUGUACAAUUGUUUAUAUUUAGAAGGAGAUGCUCUCGGGACAUCAGCACGUGUGAAAGCUGAUACCGAAGAUGGUCCCCAGCUGCUUCUAUAUCUCGUGUGUUGAGUCGGUGGAAAACGAUUCGAGUAUGACAUUUUUUUUUAUCAAUUAAUAAUAUUUAUUUUAUUUAAUUUAAUUUCCUCCACUUGUUCAAUGAUGUCUGCAAAUUAACUCUGCAAAAAAAAUAAUAAAUAGUUAAUUAAAUACUCAAGUAAUGAUUAAGUUGUUUUUUUAAAUUCAAAUGUCUCUUUGACGUCUCUCCCUAUAUUAUUGUAAUAACAUGAGUAUAUGAGUGGACACGAUUGUAGUAUAUAUGUAUAUAUAAAUACGAAUAAAUGAAUUUUUAAAAUGAUAUGUAUAUAUAUGUAUGUGGGUGCUAGUAGUGAGUAUAUACACUCACGUUUCUCGUGGUACAGCUCAUGCACGAAAUAAUUCUCAAUGUUCUUUAUGUAAUGUCACUUUGAAUUUAUUUCGCCUACGGCAUGUUUAUACUACAUAUUAAUAGUUAAACAGAGACGGGUUUAUAUAUUAUGUGUUUUAGGCGUGGGAAUGUUUUUAUUAUUCUUUGAUAUAAAAUUAAAAACAAAUAAAUUUUGUAUUUAUUAUUUUAGUUAAUUGUUAUUAAUAUUUUUAUUGUUUUUUUAACAAUGAAUUAGGUGAGGACUUAAAAUUAAGAUGCUGUGGGUGGUCCAGAAAUUAAUCAUGCGUGAUGCGAUUGUUCAUAAAGCAUAAAUUUUACAGACAUUUCAGUUUUUUUUAACGAUAUAUAGAAAAAAAAGUUAUGGGUUUUAUGAAGUGGUGAUGUAUGAGAUUUUUUGUGGUAUAUAAAUAUUUUGAAGAUGUCGAGAAAUAGAUUUCGUAAUGGGUAGUGAGUUAAAAUUAUUUUGGAGCUCAAAAAUAAGGGUUUAAAAAUAUAAUUUUUUAGUUUUAAUUUUUGGGUUGCUUUCAAACGGCUGUAACUUGGUAAAUAAUAACUUUAGGUGAAUUUUUAUGAGGGAUGAUCUUGUAGGGAAUUAAAUCUUCUAUAAAAAUGUACUCUAUAUAAAUUUACGUAACACUAAUAUUUAAAGAGUUAUAGCCAUUAAUAGUUCAAAUUCAAUUUAAAUUUUGAGAUUAUCGGAGUACUCAUCAUUUUGAUUUAUUUAAUUGGCUGUAACUCAGUAAAUAACAAUUUUACGUGAAUUUUCAUGAGGGAUGAACUUGUAGAAAAUUAAAUUUCCUAUAAAAAUGUACUCUGUGAAAAUUUACGUAGCACUAAUAUUUAAAGAGUUACAGCCAUUAAUAGUUCACAUUCGAUUUUAAUUUUUAGAUUAUCGGAGUACUCAUUACUUAAAUAUGUUUAAAUGGCUAUAACUUGGUAAAUAAUCAUUUUGAGUGAAUUUUUAUGAGGAAUGAACUUGUAGAGAAUUAAAUUUCCUAUAAAAACGUACUCUGUGAAAAUUUACGUAGCACUGAUAUUUAAAAAGUUACAGCCGUUAAUAGUUCAAAUUCAAUUUAAAUUUUGAGAAUAUCGGAGUACUCAUCAUUUAGAUAUAUUUAAAUGGCUGUAACUUGGUAAAUAACAAUUUUACGUGAAUUUUUAUAAGGGAUGAACUUGUAGAGAAUUAAAUUUUCUAUAAAAAUGUACUCUGUAAAAAUUUACGUAGCACUAAUAUUUAAAGAGUUACAGCCAUUAAUAAUUCACAUUCGGUUUAAAUUUUGAGAUUAUCGGAGUACUCAUUACUUAAAUAUGUUUAAAUGACUGUAACUUGGUAAAUAAUUAUUUUACGUGAAAUUUUAUAAGGAAUAAACUUGUAGAGAAUUGAAUUUCCUAUAAAAAUGUACUUAAUAAAAAUUUACGUACCGCUAAUAUUUAAAAAGCUACAGCUACUUUAAAUUUUAGAAACUAAAAUUCUUAAUAUUUCAGUUUAAAAAAUAUUUUCAAAUUCGAAAGUAAAAUAUUUAUUUAAAAAAAUUUUACUAAAUUAAAUUUAUAAACAACUUACAAGAUGAUAUCAAUACAGUUUUAUUUUUAUUAAAUAAAAAUAAAUAGUAAAAUAAAAUAAAUAAAUAAAAAUUUAUUAGCAUGUAAAAUUAGUGUUGAAAUGCAUAAAAAGAACUGGACCGUAUCUAUUAUAUGGCAACGCAUGCCCAAGUAGACGUGUGUACGGGUUUCCUGAUAUACUUGAAUGAGGAAACAUGAACAAGAAUAAGAAGAAGCCCAACUACUUUCGAAUAAACAAACUCUCGGAUGAUUAAUAAAAAGUUUAAUUAAUUAACCACUAGAAGAAAAUAGAAAAAAGAAAAUAAAAAUAAAAAGUUAAUAACAAUUUCUAAUUACCUCUAUAAUUAACACAAAUUACUUUUUAUGCUAAACAGAUAAUGACUUGUGCAAAUUUCGUUUAAAAAAUAAAUAUCAAACUGUUACAUCAUUUAAGAUCAAUAAAUUAUAUAUUUAAUAUUUAUAUGCAAGUUGACGUUCAACUUCUUUAUAAAUUUUACAAAAAAAUAAAAAAAUUAUCUGUUAAUUUUUAAGUCAUCUAUUAGUUUGUAAAUAAAAUUUUUUUCUAUAUAAUUUAAUUCAUUAGAAGAUUAAUUAUAGCAGGUAAUUAUAUUAAUCAUAUUGAUGAGUAAAAUACAAAAAGAAAGAGAAAAAAAAUACAUUAAGCGGUGAAAUAAUUCGCCGUUACUGAUAUAAUAUUGAAGCAGCAAUAAGACAGUUUUGGAGCGUGACCGCGAGUUUAAGUAAAAUAAAGUUGAGUGUUCUAGUAUUUAAACACAGGAAGAACUUGCAAUCAUAGCACUACAUACAGUACAUAGUGUGAUAUGUACAUGUUAUGUAUUUAAAAUAAAACCCCAAAGUAUGUUAUUGUUAUUAAAAAAAAACUCAUUACAAUUCGCUUCAUUUUAUUCUGUAUAUUUACGUUAUCUGGAAAUAAAAAUAAACGUGAGUUAAUAUGGUUAAUUGCUAGUAUUCAACAAUGUAAUAAAAAAAUUAACUGUAGCAUAAAUCAUAACAAACAUUUAUGUGGAAAUAAAAUAUUCGUAAUUUAUAUAGAAA